rnacentral:rRNA from 1 species
GAUCUGGCUCAGGACGAACGCUGGCGGCGUGCUUAACACAUGCAAGUCGAACGGGGCGCUUAUGAUGGAGAUUUCGGUCAACGGAUUAAGUUGCCUAGUGGCGGACGGGUGAGUAACGCGUGAGUAACCUGCCUUUCAGAGGGGGACAACAGUUGGAAACGACUGCUAAUACCGCAUAAUAUAUAUGGACCGCAUGAUCUGUAUAUCAAAGAUUUAUCGCUGAAAGAUGG